rnacentral:rRNA from 1 species
ACGCUCGACACCUACGGAGGCAGCAGUGGGGAAUAUUGCACAAUGGGGGAAACCCUGAUGCAGCGACGCCGCGUGGAGGAAGAAGGUCUUCGGAUUGUAAACUCCUGUUGUUGGGGAAAAAGAGGAUGGUACCCAACAAGGAAGUGACGGCUAACUACGUGCCAGCAGCCACGGUAAUCUGAGGCGGGCUGGCAAGGC